GAACGCACGCGCAGGCGCGGCACAUGAUUAAAAGCUAGCGUGCGCUCACAGAUUUGAAUGACUCUUCGGGUGUAUCGUUCGUGACCCGCCAUAAUCCCAGGAUUUAUCGCGAAUCAAAGGUUGGAGGAAGUUUUUGGGGAAAAUGGCGGACGGUCGAAGCGGAGCGGUCCAUAAAAAAGCUCUUCAAAUGUCCAGAGUCAGAGGAGAGUGAGAAGGUGAGAGGAGACGUGACAGAGGAUCUCCACCCUUGAUUAGACACCAGGACAGAUCCAGGACAGUGUGUGAGGAGGAGAAAAAGGAGCCAGCAUCAGCUGAGAGAUAUAGAGGAGAACAGGGGGACAACAGAUAGCUCUCUGUAGUUGAGGGACUGGUAAAAACAUUGAAAACAGUUUUUAGAUACUUUUGCAAAUACAGGACACCCAUAUCUCCAACACAAACUGUAACAGCUGCAUACAGGGAGCCACUCACUGAUGUUUAUCCUGCAGGACAGGAUCUGACAGGGAAAGAAGGAAAAAUAAGGGAACCAUGGACAAGUUUGAUAAUGCUUUGAUUUAUCCACAAUAUAUUCAGCUCAAAUAUUGUUUUCAUCACAGUGGCAUUGUGCUGGUUUCAGUGGGAAAAGUGUGCAGCUCUUUAAAUACAAAGUUCGAAGAGCUGUGAAAAGUUGUCCAUUCAUAAAGUGUGUCAGUAUUUUAUAAGGAUGUCAUAUUUCUGUAUUAUCUCUCUCCUGUUAGAGCCUCUUACCCAGACAUCAGCCUGUUUAAUGCUCUCAUAUCUUCAACAUCUUAAGUAAAUUAUACUGCACAGUUUUCUCUCCAAUAAAAGAAUAUUUACUGCA